UACAGAGGGAGCAAGCGUUGUUCGGAAUCACUGGGCGUAAAGGGCGCGUAGGUGGCUUGGUAAGUCUUGUGUGAAAUCCCUCGGCUCAACUGAGGAACUGCACAGGAAACUGCCUGGCUUGAGUUCGGGAGAGGGGCGCGGAAUUCCGGGUGUAGCGGUGAAAUGCGUAGAUAUCCGGAGGAACAUCGGUGGCGAAGGCGGCGCCCUGGACCGAUACUGACGCUGAGGCGCGAAAGCUAGGGGAGCAAACGGG
rnacentral:rRNA from 1 species